UAUAAAUAAAAGUCAGGAAAACAAUAACUCUUGUCUUUCAAAUAUAAAGCAUUCAUCAAUUGAUGAAAUCAAUGAUUAUGGGAUACAUAAGCAAAACUAUAUAACUAUUAAAUUAUCAAAAAACCAUUUAUGUCUCUUAAAAUUUAUCCUUUGGCUACAAAUUAUCAUAACUUUGGUGUCGUUUGUAUUAUGUAUAGUAUCACCUUUUAGGGCCAAUGAUAGGUUGGCAAUGUCCCGGUCGUCUUAUUGGUACUAUUUCUUGUACUCUAUUGUCAUCUGUUUGUCUAUAUGUCAGGCUUUUGGUGCCAUUUCUAAGAAACACAAUAACAACGACGCCUUCACUUGUUUUGUAAUUUUAUUAAUAAUUUUAGCCAUUAUUGAAAUUAUUAUAAUAAGCAAAUAUUUUUUUGUUGCCUUUCCUCCCACUGAUAUUUAUGAAAACUGGAGUAUAGAGCCUAUAGUCUUAUAUUUGAUAAGUUUGUUGCGUUUGAUUUUAUACGUAACCAUCAUUUGUGUCAUUAUUUCAUAUAUGGCUUCAUAUUAUGACAAAUGGGAUGUCC